rnacentral:rRNA from 1 species
CCUACGGGAGGCAGCAGUGGGGAAUAUUGGACAAUGGGGGCAACCCUGAUCCAGCCAUGCCGCGUGUGUGAAGAAGGCCCUCGGGUUGUAAAGCACUUUCAGUGAGGAAGAACGCCUGGUGGUUAAUACCCAUCAGGAAAGACAUCACUCACAGAAGAAGCACCGGCUAACUCCGUGCCAGCAGCCGCGGUAAUGCGGAGGGUGCGAGCGUUAAUCGGAAUUACUGGGCGUAAAGCGCGCGUAGGUGGCUUGAUAAGCCGGUUGUGAAAGCCCCGGGCUCAACCUGGGAACGGCAUCCGGAACUGUCAAGCUAGAGUGCAGGAGAGGAAGGUAGAAUUCCCGGUGUAGCGGUGAAAUGCGUAGAGAUCGGGAGGAAUACCAGUGGCGAAGGCGGCCUUCUGGACUGACACUGACACUGAGGUGCGAAAGCGUGGGUAGCAAACAGGAUUAGAUACCCCAGUAGUC